GACGAACGCUGGCGGCGUGCUUAACACAUGCAAGUCGAACGGAAAGGCCCUGCUUUUGUGGGGUGCUCGAGUGGCGAACGGGUGAGUAACACGUGAGUAACCUGCCCUUGACUUUGGGAUAACUUCAGGAAACUGGGGCUAAUACCGGAUAGGAGCUCCUGCUGCAUGGUGGGGGUUGGAAAGUUUCGGCGGUUGGGGAUGGACUCGCGGCUUAUCAGCUUGUUGGUGGGGUAGUGGCUUACCAAGGCUUUGACGGGUAGCCGGCCUGAGAGGGUGACCGGCCACAUUGGGACUGAGAUACGGCCCAGACUCCUACGGGAGGCAGCAGUGGGGAAUAUUGCACAAGGGGCGGAAGCCUGAUGCAGCAACGCCGCGUGCGGGAUGACGGCCUUCGGUUUGUAAACCGCUUUCGCCUGUGACGAAGCGUGAGUGACGGUAAUGGGUAAAGAAGCACCGGCUAACUACGUG
rnacentral:rRNA from 1 species